AAAUGACAUUGUAGGGUAGGUGUAAGAGGCUGGAUAUGGCUGGUUUGAACAUAAAGCAGAUAGACUAUUUGGGCCAGAUGUGGCUGGUAUAAAUACUA